rnacentral:rRNA from 1 species
UACAGAGGGUGCAAGCGUUAAUCGGAAUUACUGGGCGUAAAGGGCGCGUAGGCGGCGUGUCAAGUCAGGCGUGAAAGCCCCGGGCUCAACCUGGGAACCGCGCUUGAGACUGGCAUGCUCGAGUUCGGGAGAGGAUGGUGGAAUUCCCAGUGUAGAGGUGAAAUUCGUAGAUAUUGGGAAGAACACCGAUGGCGAAGGCAGCCAUCUGGACCGACACUGACGCUGAGGCGCGAAAGCGUGGGGAGCAAACAGGAUUAGAAACCCUGGGAUAC